rnacentral:rRNA from 1 species
GACAGAGGAGCCAAGCGUUGUCCGGAUUGACUGGGCGUAAAGCGCACGCAGGCGGUCGCGCGCGUGGGGUGUGAAAUCUGGCCGCUUAACGGCCAGGCGCCAUCCCAUACGGCGCGACUGGAGUGAUGCAGAGGUCGAUGGAAUUGCCGGUGUAGUGGUGAAAUGCGUAGAGAUCGGCAGGAACACCCAGGGGGGAAACCAGUCGACUGGGCAUCUACUGACGCUGAGGUGCGAGAGCGUGGGGAGCGAACAGGG